AUUGAACGCUGGCGGAAUGCUUUACACAUGCAAGUCGAACGAUGAACCUUAGCUUGCUAAGGGGAUUAGUGGCGAACGGGUGAGUAAUAUAUCGGAACGUGCCUUGUAAUGGGGGAUAACUAGUCGAAAGAUUAGCUAAUACCGCAUACGCCCUGAGGGGGAAAGUAGGGGAUCUUCGGACCUUACGUUAUAAGAGCGGCCGAUAUCUGAUUAGCUAGUUGGUGGGGUGAUGGCCUACCAAGGCGACGAUCAGUAGCUGGUCUGAGAGGACGACCAGCCACACUGGAACUGAGACACGGUCCAGACUCCUACGGGAGGCAGCAGUGGGGAAUUUUGGACAAUGGGCGCAAGCCUGAUCCAGCCAUUCCGCGUGAGUGAAGAAGGCCUUCGGGUUGUAAAGCUCUUUCGCAAGGGAAGAAAACUUACCAUCGAAUAAAUGGUGAGGCUGACGGUACCUUGAUAAGAAGCACCGGCUAACUACGUGCCAGCAGCCGCGGUAAUACGUAGGGUGCGAGCGUUAAUCGGAAUUACUGGGCGUAAAGCGUGCGCAGGCGGUUUGGCAAGUCAGAUGUGAAAUCCCCGAGCUCAACUUGGGAACUGCGUUUGAAACUGCCAGACUAGAAUAUGUCAGAGGGGGGUAGAAUUCCACGUGUGGCAGUGAAAUGCGUAGAGAUGUGGAGGAAUACCAAUGGCGAAGGCAGCCCCCUGGGAUAAUAUUGACGCUCAUGCACGAAAGCGUGGGGAGCAAACAGGAUUAGAUACCCUGGUAGUCCACGCCCUAAACGAUGUCUACUAGUUGUUGGUGGAGUAAAAUCCAUGAGUAACGCAGCUUAACGCGUGAAGUAGACCGCCUGGGGAGUACGGUCGCAAGAUUAAAACUCAAAGGAAUUGACGGGGGCCC
rnacentral:rRNA from 1 species